AAUGACUGAGGAACGCCGAAGCAGUAGGAGCGCAACGAUCGCAAAGUAUCUUGGGAAGGAACGCGUUGAUGGCAGAAUAUUUUAUUUCAUUGAGUAUUUAUUAACAAUAAACGUUAAAAGUUUAUUGCAAUGUGCAAACGAUCAAAUUUAGAUUGAAGGCGAUAAUCGUGGACGUUGAAAAUUUGAGUUCGUACUAAAAGCGAUCAAAGCUCAACGCGCCCAUCAAAGGCCCAAUUAAAGCCUCCCUGUCCCUGCGCCUAAAGCCCUCAAGUGGCUCAAGAGCUGGGCACUGGGCUGGGCUGCGCUACGCCAGACCGUGUUGCUCUGGCAUCUCUCACGGCCACCUAUACCGACUCGGAGGGCGAGGACGGGGUGGAAGACGAGCGCCUGCAGGAGGAGAAUUCGAACACUCCCCAGGGGGCCGCCCCGCAUAAUGCCCAAGUCGGUCGUCAGCCCC
rnacentral:misc_RNA from 1 species